UACGAAGGGGGCUAGCGUUGCUCGGAAUCACUGGGCGUAAAGGGCGCGUAGGCGGCCAUUCAAGUCGGAGGUGAAAGCCCAGGGCUCAACCCUGGAAUUGCCUUCGAUACUGUUUGGCUAGAGACCGGAAGAGGUAAGUGGAACUGCGAGUGUAGAGGUGAAAUUCGUAGAUAUUCGCAAGAACACCAGUGGCGAAGGCGGCUUACUGGUCCGGUACUGACGCCGAGACGCGAAAGCGUGGGGAGCGAACAGG
rnacentral:rRNA from 1 species